UGCUCGAUGGGUUCAGCCGAAUAAUGUCUGCCUACGGAGCAGAUGAUCGCAGGUUCGAAUCCUGCAUCGGGUAU
rnacentral:tRNA from 1 species